GUGCACCAGUCGAGAAACUUACAAUGUGCGAAAGCACGAUAAGGGAACUCUGAGUGCCUCCUAAGGAGGCUGUUCAGGUGUCUAAAAGCACCUGAAGGAAGGGCUGGGUAAGACCGGUGCCAGCCGCCGCGGUAACACCGGCAGCCCAAGUGGUAGCCACGUUUAUUGGGUCUAAAGCGUCCGUAGCCGGCUGGGUAAGUUCCUUGGGAAAUUUGGCUGCUUAACAGUCAAGCUUUCAGGGAAUACUGCCCGGCUUGGGACCGGGAGAGGUCAGAGGUACUCCAGGGGUAGGGGUGAAAUCCAUUAAUCCUUGGGGGACCACCGGUAGCGAAGGCGUCUGACCAGACCGGGUCCGACGGUGAGGGACGAAGGCUAGGGGGCGCGAACCGGGAUUAGAUACCCCGGGGUAGUCU
rnacentral:rRNA from 1 species